rnacentral:rRNA from 1 species
UGAUUCUUGGUCAUUUAGAGGAAGUAAAAGUCGUAACAAGGUUUCCGUAGGUGAACCUGCGGAAGGAUCAUUACCGAACUGUCAACACGAGUUGUUGCUGGUCCUCAUAUGGGGGCAUGUGCACGCUCUGUUCACACAUCCAUUUACACCUGUGCACCCACUGUAGUUCCAUGGCCUGGGGGACUCUGUCCUCUUGCCGUGGUUCUAUGUCUUUACAUACGCACCGUAAUAAAGUUUCAUGGAAUGCAUGACGCGUCUAACGCAAUACAAUACAACUUUCAGCAACGGAUCUCUUGGCUCUCGCAUCGAUGAAGAACGCAGCGAAAUGCGAUAAGUAAUGUGAAUUGCAGAAUUCAGUGAAUCAUCGAAUCUUUGAACGCACCUUGCGCCCCCUGGCUAUUCCAUGGGGCAUGCCUGUUUGAGUAUCGUGAACACCUCAACUCUCAUGGUUUUGCCGUGAUGAGCUUGGACUUUGGGGGUCUUGCUGGCCUGUGGUCGGCUCCUCUCAAACAAAUCAGCUUGCCAGUGUUUGGUGGCGUCACAGGUGUGAUAACUAUCUACGCUUGUGGUUUCCCACCGGGUAACCUUCAGUGAUGAAGGUUCGCUGGAGCUCAUAAAUGUCUCUCCUCAGCGAGGACAGCUUCUUGAAUGUUUGAUCUCAAAUCAGGUAGGGCUACCCGCUGAACUUAAGCAUAUCAAUAAGCGGAGGAAAUCGAA